GCCAGAGCACCCUCUGUGCACACAGCUUAUCCAUCCUGCCCAGCUUCGGCACAAAGGAAUGUGCCAGCUCCUGCUUUUCCAGAGCAGCUGAAAGCCUCCUUCAUGCUCCACUGAAAUUUUGCUAUCAUUCCCUGAAGAUCUAUUCCCUUCGCACUGCACGCCUGGCUGGCACAGCCUUCCUUCAGCAAGAAGCUCUUUCUGCAGUGCUGUUUUUGCAGGUUGGAGUGGGGAAGAUUCUACUGCUCUUCAGCAUCGCCUCCCUGUUCUGCAAGCUGCAGCAUGAUCAUCUCAGGGUCCUGGGGAAUGGUGCUCUCCUGAUUCAAGAGCCUUCUAUGUUUGCAAGCUGAACAGGACACCAAAAGAAGUUAUUUACCUUGCACAAAUGAGCAUGAAAUGGCCCCUGUUCAAUACCUCAGGAAAGCUGCCAAUCAACUACUGCUACACUCAGCUGCUUCUGGGCAGGAGUUCUCCUGUCUGCACCUUGGGAGGCAUUAACAUUUCAGCUGGGCUAUAUCCCAGAUUCUCCUUUCAGAAUGCCUUUGGCAUCAGCUGUGAAAUAAACUGCCAUGCAGUGCCCUGGUCCUGCUUUGAAAGACUCCGGAGUGCUCCUCAGGCUAUCAGUGGAGGUGAAGUCUCCUUUAUUCCUGGACACUGAGCACCUGUAAGCCACAGCUUAGAGAUAACACCUUAACCCCUGUUGUACAACUCAUCCUCCCAAUUGCCAUGUUUCCCUUUGAAGACAGGAGUACCUGUAGUGCGUUUCAGCUGCGGUGAUGGCUUCUAAUGGAGACAGACAAUCAGGUUCAAAACCCACAGAACCUCUGAACAGAAUCCAGGUAAAACCACGAGUCUUCACCUGCUUCCAUGUCAAAAACAAAGAAAUAAAAUGCAAGCGCGUGGCAGUUUCAGAGCACAAUCACAAAUCAGUUCCUUUGUUAUCAGUUUCCAUUGAAAGAUUGGCCAAGGGUUGAGAAUCUUUCCAGAUACAAUCUACAUGUAAAGUGUAAAAUGGAAAUCAAAGCCUGAGAGAUUUUGCCAAGGUUUGGAGUGGCUGCAUGCACAUUUCUUUGGUGGCUGCUUGGAUCUGACAGCUUCCUGAAUCAAAGGAACCACUGCCUUCUGCCCUGCUCCCACUGCUCUCUCUGGAGAUUUUCAAGCCCUGAGGGAAGAUAAGAGCCCAUCCUGCAUGAGCAUCCUGCUGCAGAUGAUAUUCGAAAGAAGAUCUGCAGAACUUUGUUCUGCUGGAUACCAUGUACCUGCAC